rnacentral:lncRNA from 1 species
UUUAAUUUAUUGACCAACCUUACACGUCAUUUAUAACCUGUAGAUAUAUUAAGCUCAAUUGUAUAGAAAAGUAUGAACAUGUAUUAAAAAUCUCUCAUUAUACCCCUGCUUUAAAAAUGUGGAGGUAUAUAGUGAUGGGUAAGACUGUCCUGUAUUCUUUAUAUCAUUUCAAACUAUGGCAAGUUAAUAUUUGCUCAGAAAGAUUGAGUGACAUUUGAGUUACUGCAUUAAAGGGGCACUAGCUACGAGAUGUAAAAAAAAAUAAAG